CCUACGGGUGGCAGCAGUGGGGAAUAUUGCACAAUGGGGGAAACCCUGAUGCAGCGACGCCGCGUGAGUGAAGAAGCAAUUCGUUAUGUAAAGCUCUAUCAGCAGGGAAGAAAAUGACGGUACCUCAGUAAGAAGCCCCGGCUAACUACGUGCCAGCAGCCGCGGUAAUACGUAGGGGGCAAGCGUUAUCCGGCUUUACUGGGUGUAAAGGGGGCGUAGACGGCAGUGCAAGCCAGGAGUGAAAGCCGGGGGCCCAACCCCGGGACUGCUCGUGAAACUGAAUGGCUGGAGUGCAGGAGGGGCAAGUGGAAGUCCGGGUGUAGCGGUGAAAUGCGUAGAUAUAAGGAGGAACACCAGUGGCGAAGGCGGCUUGCUGGAAUGCAACUGACGUUGAGGAUCGAAAGCGUGGGGAGCAAACAGGAUUAGAUACCCUAGUAGUC
rnacentral:rRNA from 1 species